CAGCCGCCGCGGGAAUACGAAGGGGGCUAGCGUUGCUCGGAAUGACUGGGCGUAAAGGGCGCGUAGGCGGAUUGUUUAGUUAGGCGUGCAAUUCCUGGGCUUAACCUGGGGACUGCGCUUAAUACAGGCAGUCUAGAGUGAGGAAGAGGGUUGUGGAAUUCCCAGUGUAGAGGUGAAAUUCGUAGAUAUUGGGAAGAACACCGGUGGCGAAGGCGGCAACCUGGUCCUUGACUGACGCUGAGGCGCGAAAGCGUGGGGAGCAAACAGGAUUAGAUACACGCGUAGUCCCUGUCUCUUAUAC
rnacentral:rRNA from 1 species